GGAUGUGCGGCGAAGACGGCGGGUCGUACCUGUCUGUAAAACAGGAUGUCCUUGUGGCACAUAGAAUGUUCGAAUCAUUCCGCAUCCACCA
rnacentral:tRNA from 1 species